AACAUCGCGCACCUGCGGGAACCUGCGGAGGGAUCAUUAGUGAAUGCCCUUCAUGGGCUUAACUAUUCCAAACCUCUGUGAACCGUGUCCUUCGGGACAAUUUUACAAACAUUGUGUAAUGAACGUAGUAUACUUUAACAAAACAAAACUUUUAACAAUGGAUCU
rnacentral:misc_RNA from 1 species